UACGGAGGGUGCAAACGUUGCUCGGAAUCAUUGGGCGUAAAGCGCACGUAGGCGGCCCACCAAGUCGGACGUGAAAGCCCUCGGCUUAACCGAGGAAGGGCGCUCGAUACUAGUGGGCUUGAGUACGGGAGAGGAUCGCGGAAUUCCAGGUGUAGCGGUGAAAUGCGUAGAUAUCUGGAGGAACACCGGUGGCGAAGGCGGCGUCCUGGACCAACACUGACACUGAGGAGCGAAAGCCAGGGGAGCAAACGGG
rnacentral:rRNA from 1 species